UAGGCAGAAGCCUGUUGGUUUGGGCAUCUAGCUGUUAAUUAGAGUAUUACGGGAUCGAAGCCCGUCUGCCUAG
rnacentral:tRNA from 1 species